AGAGUUUGAUCCUGGCUCAGAUUGAACGCUGGCGGCAUGCCUUACACAUGCAAGUCGAACGGCAGCGCGGGGCAACCUGGCGGCGAGUGGCGAACGGGUGAGUAAUAUAUCGGAACGUACCCUGGAGUGGGGGAUAACGUAGCGAAAGUUACGCUAAUACCGCAUACGAUCUAAGGAUGAAAGUGGGGGAUCGCAAGACCUCAUGCUCCUGGAGCGGCCGAUAUCUGAUUAGCUAGUUGGCGGGGUAAAAGCCCGCCAAGGCAACGAUCAGUAGCUGGUCUGAGAGGACGACCAGCCACACUGGAACUGAGACACGGUCCAGACUCCUACGGGAGGCAGCAGUGGGGAAUUUUGGACAAUGGGCGCAAGCCUGAUCCAGCAAUGCCGCGUGAGUGAAGAAGGCCUUCGGG
rnacentral:rRNA from 1 species